AUGCCCGAGCUCUCAAAAUCUCCAAAUAUUAUAAUUGCUGUAGCCUGUUUACGAGCCUUCUUCAAAUAUGCUACUUGGUCAGACCAAUCACAUAAAUACAAGCCUUGCAGCUCUAUCCAAUGGUGUUAUAGCCAUGCCAAGCAAAGGAGGAUUUCCCUCGCUUCUUGGAAGAAGACCCUGAUAAUUAAUUCCCUUCGUAGCCCUUGUAUCCAUGCUUCUUCUCCACUUGAACAUUAUUAACUUUAAUUUUUUAGUCUCUUCUAUUCAAAAGCACCUAAAAUCAGGAUCAGUUUAUUGUAAUAAAAAUGUUUUUACUGCACUGCUGUCA
rnacentral:lncRNA from 1 species